CUCCCAGACUCGGUCGGGAACCUGACGGGCCUUCGAAACCUCGACUUGGGCGGGUGCUCCUCUUUGCAGACGCUCCCAGACUCCGUCGGGAACCUGACGGGCCUCCAAA
rnacentral:pre_miRNA from 1 species